rnacentral:rRNA from 1 species
GAUGAACGCUCGCUGUGUGCCUAAUACAUGCAUGUUGAACGGGAUGUAGCAAUACAUUCAGUAGCGAAUGGGUGAGUAACACGUACCUAACCUACCUUUAAGACUGGGAUAACUAUUGGAAACAAUAGCUAAUACCGGAUAUAGUUAUUUAUCGCAUGAUGAGUAAUAGAAAGGAGCUUCACAGCUUCACUUAAAAAUGGGGGUGCGGAACAUUAGUUAGUUGGUAGGGUAAUGGCCUACCAAGACGAUGAUGUUUAGCCGGGCCGAGAGGCUGUACGGCCACACUGGGACUGAGAUACGGCCCAGACUCCUACGGGAGGCAGCAGUAAGGAAUUUUCCACAAUGAGCGAAAGCUUGAUGGAGCGACACAGCGUGCAGGAUGAAGUUCUUCGGAAUGUAAACUGCUGUUAUAAGGGAAGAAAAAAUAGAAUAGGAAAUGAUUUUAUCUUGACGGUACCUUAUUAGAAAGCGACGGCAAACUAUGUGCCAGCAGCCGCGGUAAUACGUAGGUGGCAAGCGUUAUCCGGAUUUAUUGGGCGUAAAGAGAGUGCAGGCGGUUUUCUAAGUCUGAUGUGAAAGCCUUCGGCUUAACCGGAGAAGUGCAUCGGAAACUGGAUGACUUGAGUGCAGAAGAGGGUAGUGGAACUCCAUGUGUAGCGGUGGAAUGCGUAGAUAUAUGGAAGAACACCAGUGGCGAAGGCGGCUACCUGGUCUGCAACUGACGCUGAGACUCGAAAGCAUGGGGAGCAAACAGG